GCAAUACGAUACCCCUGGUAGUCCUGGCCGGUAAAACGAUGCGGACUUGGUGUUGGGGAUGGCUUCGAGCUGCUCCAGUGCCGAAGGGAAGCUGUUAAGUCCGUCGCCUGGGAAGUACGGUCGCAAGACUGAAACUUAAAGGAAUUGGCGGGGGGAGCACCACAACGCGUGGUAGCCUGCGGUUUAAUUGGGACUCAACCGCCGGGACAUCUCACCAGGGGGCGGACAGCAGGAUGAUGGUCCCAGGGUUGAUGGACCUUGCUUGACAAGCUGAGAGGAGGGUGCAUGGCCGCCGUCAGCUCGUACCCGUGAGGCGUCCUGUUAAGCCAGGCAACGAGCGAGACCCACGCCCUUAGUUACCAGCGGGUUCCUUUUUAGGAUGCCGGGGUCACGACUAAGGGGUACCGGCCGAGUGAUAAACUGGAGGAAGGAGUGGACGGACGGUAGGUCCGGUAUGCCCCCGAAUCCCCUGGGGCUACGACGCGGGGCUACGAAUGGCUAGGGACAAUGGGUUACCGGACACUGAAAGGUGAUGGUAAUCUCCUAACCUAGUNUUAGUUCGUAGUGAGGCUGUACUCCG
rnacentral:rRNA from 1 species